rnacentral:lncRNA from 1 species
CCAAGGAGCAGGUGUCUUUCCAAUCUCGCUCUCGUGAGGAGCUCGGAUCCACGAUUAGAGAAAUGCUUCUGAUGGUAAGUUAUUUUUUCACUUCUUUUUGAGUUUGCUUUGUUUCUUUUCUUGACAAUUGUUCUUCCGUACUAGGUGUCGGGCCUAUUUAUGGAGGUGGAUGCCCAUGACCUCUCUCUCCGGGAGUCCGUGGACUGCCG